GGCUCACUAGCUCAAUUGGCAGAGCAAUUGACUCUUAAUCAAUGGGUUCAGGGUUCAAGUCCCUGGUGAGUCA
rnacentral:tRNA from 1 species